rnacentral:rRNA from 1 species
ACGGAAGGCAGCAGUGGGGAAUAUUGGGCAAUGGGCGAAAGCCUGACCCAGCGACGCCGCGUGAGGGAAGAAGGUCUGCGGAUUGUAAACCUCUUUCAGCAGGGAAGAACAAUGACGGUACCUGCAGAAGAAGUCACGGCUAACUACGUGCCAGCAGCCGCGGUAAUACGUAGGUGGCCAGCGUUAUCCGGAAUUACUGGGUGUAAAGGGUGUGUAGGCGGAGAAGCAAGCCAGGCGUGAAAUUCAGAGGCUCAACCUCUGGACUGCGCUUGAAACUGUUUCCCUUGAGAGUGGGAGAGGUAAACGGAAUUACUGGUGUAGUAGUGAAAUGCGUAGAUAUCAGGAGGAACACCGGUGGCGAAGGCGGUUUACUGGACCACAACUGACGCUGAGACACGAAAGCGUGGGGAGCAAACAGGAUUAGAUACCCUGGUA